UGAUAUGUUAAUGGAUGACUCAGC
rnacentral:piRNA from 1 species